ACGCUGGCGGCGUGCCUAAUACAUGCAAGUCGAGCGAACAGAUAAGGAGCUUGCUCCUUUGACGUUAGCGGCGGACGGGUGAGUAACACGUGGGUAACCUACCUAUAAGACUGGGAUAACUUCGGGAAACCGGAGCUAAUACCGGAUAACAUUUGGAACCGCAUGGUUCUAAAGUGAGAGAUGGUUUUGCUAUCACUUAUAGAUGGACCCGCGCCGUAUUAGCUAGUUGGUAAGGUAACGGCUUACCAAGGCAACGAUACGUAGCCGACCUGAGAGGGUGAUCGGCCACACUGGAACUGAGACACGGUCCAGACUCCUACGGGAGGCAGCAGUAGGGAAUCUUCCGCAAUGGGCGAAAGCCUGACGGAGCAACGCCGCGUGAGUGAUGAAGGGUUUCGGCUCGUAAAACUCUGUUAUUAGGGAAGAACAAAUGUGUAAGUAACUGUGCACAUCUUGACGGUACCUAAUCAGAAAGCCACGGCUAACUACGUGCCAGCAGCCGCGGUAAUACGUAGGUGGCAAGCGUUGUCCGGAAUUAUUGGGCGUAAAGCGCGCGUAGGCGGUUUCUUAAGUCUGAUGUGAAAGCCCACGGCUCAACCGUGGAGGGUCAUUGGAAACUGGGAAACUUGAGUGCAGAAGAGGAAAGUGGAAUUCCAUGUGUAGCGGUGAAAUGCGCAGAGAUAUGGAGGAACACCAGUGGCGAAGGCGACUUUCUGGUCUGUAACUGACGCUGAUGUGCGAAAGCGUGGGGAUCAAACAGGAUUAGAUACCCUGGUAGUCC
rnacentral:rRNA from 1 species